rnacentral:rRNA from 1 species
GAAGUAAAAGUCGUAACAAGGUCUCCGUUGGUGAACCAGCGGAGGGAUCAUUACCGAGUUUACAACUCCCAAACCCCUGUGAACAUACCAUUUGUUGCCUCGGCGGUGCCUGCUUCGGCAGCCCGCCAGAGGACCCAAACCCUUGAUUUUAUACAGUAUCUUCUGAGUAAAUGAUUAAAUAAAUCAAAACUUUCAACAACGGAUCUCUUGGUUCUGGCAUCGAUGAAGAACGCAGCGAAAUGCGAUAAGUAAUGUGAAUUGCAGAAUUCAGUGAAUCAUCGAAUCUUUGAACGCACAUUGCGCCCGCCAGUAUUCUGGCGGGCAUGCCUGUUCGAGCGUCAUUUCAACCCUCAAGCCCCCGGGCUUGGUGUUGGAGAUCGGCGUGCCCUCCGGGGCGCGCCGGCUCCCAAAUAUAGUGGCGGUCUCGCUGUAGCUUCCUCUGCGUAGUAGCACACCUCGCACUGGGAAACAGCGUGGCCACGCCGUUAAACCCCCCACUUCUGAAAGGUUGACCUCGGAUCAGGUAGGAAUACCCGCUGAACUUAAGCAUAUCAA